GGAGUUCAGCUGUGCUGCUGC
rnacentral:miRNA from 1 species